CGCGGCCUAUCAGCUUGUUGGUGGGGUAACGGCCUACCAAGGCGAAGACGGGUAGCUGGCGUGAGAGCGUGGUCAGCCACACUGGGACUGAGACACGGCCCAGACUCCUACGGGAGGCAGCAGUGGGGAAUAUUGCGCAAUGGGCGAAAGCCUGACGCAGCGACGCCGCGUGGGGGAGGAAGGCCCUCGGGUUGUAAACCCCUGUCAGAUGGGACGAACCACAGGCCGGCGAAUAGGCGGCUUGUCUGACGGUACCAUCAGAGGAAGCUCCGGCUAACUCCGUGCCAGCAGCCGCGGUAAUACGGAGGGAGCGAGCGUUGUUCGGAAUCACUGGGCGUAAAGGGCGCGUAGGCGGCCGCGUAAGUCGCGUGUGAAAGGCCGGGGCUCAACCCCGUGUACUGCAUGCGAUACUGCGUGGCUUGAGAAAGGUAGAGGUGAGCGGAAUUCCCGGUGUAGCGGUGGAAUGCGUAGAUAUCGGGAAGAACACCAGUGGCGAAGGCGGCUCGCUGGGCCUUUUCUGACGCUGAAGCGCGAAAGCGUGGGGAGCAAACAGGAUUAGAUACCCUGGUAGUCCACGCCGUAAACGCUGGGUACUAGGUGUUGGGAGGAUUGACCCUUUCAGUGCCGACGCUAACGCAUUAAGUACCCCG
rnacentral:rRNA from 1 species